rnacentral:rRNA from 1 species
CUCCUACGGGAGGCAGCAGUGGGGAAUCUUGGACAAUGGGCGCAAGCCUGAUCCAGCAAUGCCGCGUGCGUGAAGAAGGCCUUCGGGUUGUAAAGCGCUUUUGUUCGGGAGGAAAUCCUAGUGGCUAAUAUCCAUUGGGGAUGACAGUACCGGAAGAAUAAGCACCGGCUAACUCUGUGCCAGCAGCCGCGGUAAUACAGAGGGUGCGAGCGUUAAUCGGAUUUACUGGGCGUAAAGCGUACGUAGGCGGCUUUUUAAGUCGGAUGUGAAAUCCCUGAGCUUAACUUAGGAAUUGCAUUCGAUACUGGGAAGCUAGAGUAUGGGAGAGGAUGGCAGAAUUCCAGGUGUAGCGGUGAAAUGCGUAGAGAUCUGGAGGAAUACCGAUGGCGAAGGCAGCCAUCUGGCCUAAUACUGACGCUGAGGUACGAAAGCAUGGGGAGCAAACAGGAUUAGAUACCCUGGUAGUCCACGCCGUAAACGAUGUCGAUUUGGAGGCUGUGUCCUUGAGACGUGGCUUCCGGAGCUAACGCGUUAAAUCGACCGCCUGGGGAGUACGGCCGCAAGGUUAAAACUCAAAUGAAUUGACGGGGGCCCGCACAAGCGGUGGAGCAUGUGGUUUAAUUCGAUGCAACGCGAAGAACCUUACCUGGCCUUGACAUGUCUGGAAUCCUGCAGAGAUGCGGGAGUGCCUUCGGGAAUCAGAACACAGGUGCUGCAUGGCUGUCGUCAGCUCGUGUCGUGAGAUGUUGGGUUAAGUCCCGUAACGAGCGCAACCCUUGUCCUUAGUUACCAGCACGUUAUGGUGGGCACUCUAAGGAGACUGCCGGUGACAAACCGGAGGAAGGUGGGGAUGACGUCAAGUCAUCAUGGCCCUUACGGCCUGGGCUACACACGUGCUACAAUGGUCGGUACAGAGGGUUGCCAAGCCGCGAGGUGGAGCUAAUCUCACAAAACCGAUCAUAGUCCGGAUCGCAGUCUGCAACUCGACUGCGUGAAGUCGGAAUCGCUAGUAAUCGCAAAUCAGAAUGUUGCGGUGAAUACGUUCCCGGGCCUUGUACACACCGCCCGU